AACAAGGAGAAGGUCCUGUGCCUUUCAAGGAUUUAUCUCCGAGGUCUCAAGAAAAGUUGAUCCUAACUGGCAUUGCUGGCCAGGAGGCUGCAGCACGUGUUUUGAAUGAAGGGGGAAUUCUCGAUGAGAGUGAUAUUGAAGUGCGCCCCGAGGAGUUGGCGAGCGCCCUCCUAGACCACCGGGUAUCAUUGCCAAAGCUGAAGAAAUACUUCACCGCAGAGGCAUGGCUGUUGCUCUCAUCAUCCCGUAAGAACCUAUCUCUUUCUGGUCGUUUAUCAUUGUUUUGUGACUGCCAUGCAUGAGCAACUGUUCCUUGUCUGCAGUUGCUGUGAAAAAAAAAAAGGAGACAUAUGGAGCUGUGCACAAUGCAAGAAAAAGGAUGAUGGCGAAAUAAAAAUGGUUUUGUGUGAUCAGUGCUUGGAAUGGUUUCACUGGCCGUGUGCUUCAGUGAAGAAGGAGGACCUAAAGCGUCACUGGUUCUGUAUGAAGUGUUGCAGCCACACAUAGAUACUUCCUGGAGCAAUAAACGCAUGCUUUUUUUUCUUUUUGCACUUAUGCUGUUUUGUUUUGCUGCUGAAUAGACGGUAGGCAGUCUUCGGUAGUGCAGUGCCUUGUCAGCUCGAAAC